GACGAACGCUGGCGGCGUGCUUAACACAUGCAAGUCGAACGGUGAACCUCUUCGGAGGGGGUCAGUGGCGAACGGGUGAGUAACACGUGGGCAACCUGCCCCCGGCUCUGGGAUAACUCCAAGCCAUUGGGGCUAAUACCGGAUGUUCACCGCUUCCCGCAUGGGUGGUGGUGGAAGGGUUUUCCGGCUGGGGAUGGGCCCGCGGCCUAUCAGCUUGUUGGUGGGGUAGUGGCCUACCAAGGCGACGCCGGGGAGCCGGCCUGAGAGGGUGACCGGCCACACUGGGACUGAGACACGGCCCAGACUCCUACGGGGGGCAGCAGUGGGGAAUAUUGCGCUAUGGGCGGAAGCCUGACGCAGCGACGCCGCGUGGGGGAUGACGGCCUUCGGGUUGUAAUCCUCUUUCAGCAGGGACGAAGCGCAAGUGACGGUACCUGCAGAAGAAGCACCGGCCAACUACGUG
rnacentral:rRNA from 1 species